rnacentral:rRNA from 1 species
UACAGAGGGGGCAAGCGUUAUUCGGAAUUAUUGGGCGUAAAGGGCGCGUAGGCGGUUUUUUAAGUCGGAUGUGCAAUCCCCAGGCUCAACCUGGGAACUGCAUCCGAGACUGGAAGGCUAGAGUACUGGAGAGGGUGGUGGAAUUCCUCGUGUAGCGGUGAAAUGCGUAGAUAUGUGGAGGAAUACCGGUGGCGAAGGCGGCCUCCUGGCUUAAUACUGACGCUGAGGUGCGAAAGCGUGGGGAGCAAACAGG